UGGGGAAUAUUGCACAAUGGGCGCAAGCCUGAUGCAGCCAUGCCGCGUGUGUGAAGAAGGCCUUCGGGUUGUAAAGCACUUUCAGCGAGGAGGAAGGGUAGUGUGUUAAUAGCACAUUGCAUUGACGUUACUCGCAGAAGAAGCACCGGCUAACUCCGUGCCAGCAGCCGCGGUAAUACGGAGGGUGCAAGCGUUAAUCGGAAUUACUGGGCGUAAAGCGCACGCAGGCGGUUUGUUAAGUCAGAUGUGAAAUCCCCGCGCUUGACGUGGGAACUGCAUUUGAAACUGGCAAGCUAGAGUCUUGUAGAGGGGGGUAGAAUUCCAGGUGUAGCGGUGAAAUGCGUAGAGAUCUGGAGGAAUACCGGUGGCGAAGGCGGCCCCCUGGACAAAGACUGACGCUCAGGUGCGAAAGCGUGGGGAGCAAACA
rnacentral:rRNA from 1 species